rnacentral:rRNA from 1 species
UUGGGUGGCCAUGGCGACGGGGCCCACCCCUUUCCAUUCCGAACAGGGAAGUUAAGCCCGUCUGCGCCGAUGGUACUGCCACUAGGUGGGAGAGUAGGCCGCCGCCUUCUUUGAAGACCUCUACAGCAAUGUAGGGGUCUUUUUUUUUGCCCUAUACUCAAC